rnacentral:lncRNA from 1 species
UCUGUUGCUAGAGGAGAACAAUUUUCAGCAAAGCUUUCUAUUUUCCUAGAAUUGAGAUUUUAAUCAGAAUAACAUUCAAAUAAUCCUUGAAAAGAGGCCCCACAGACAGAAACUUGUGGUACGUCUUUUAGGACCGGAGUCUUUUUCCCAAAGCUGCCCCAAAGCUGCCUCUUGGAUUUUGUUUGGGACCGGCUGCCCCAGGGUACAACCAUAAACCAGACUAACACAGAGCCCUGUGCCGCAGCAUGCUACAAGCAGAGGCUCUUUUUUUUUUUUUUUUUUUUAAUCCAGGAGUGACUGUGUUUUAAUGGCAAUUGAAGCUAUUUAUGCCUAUAAAUCCACUCAGGGAAGGUUUUGGAACCUUUUAUUGUGACGGAUGCUGUGCAAAUAUAAAAGCACUCUGCUGCAACCAGCUGGGUAGGUAGGAGCUGCAGCAGUAUCUGCUCUGCUUGUCUGACUGGAGGGUCUGCAAGAAGGCACCUUCUGAAGGGACCCUCCUUUUUCCUGCUGUAUUUUAAUACUAAUUAAUUCCAGAAAGGCUAAAGAAAUGUGAUGAAAUGCUACACUUCUAAGAAAAAGUUUUGCCUGAGAGUCUGGAAGCAGGCCUCCCAGCGCGGGAGGGCCUGGUGGGAGAAAUGGGACGAUCAAAUGGACGGAGCAAGAAACCUUGUGAAAAACUCGUCUCGAGCGCUGGCUGCGUGGCACCGCUUUCCCAGAGGCAUCGUCGCACGGUGUUUGUUAUUGUUCUUCAGUAAAACCCAAAUGUAUUUAAAGAAGUAGACUCAUUAUGUACUUCACUUGGAGAUUUUUUCCCUUCCCCAGUAAACACUAUGGAAGUCCUUCACAGCACCUUCUGGUAUGUUUUUUGGCAGCCGGUAUUGAACCAACCGUCUGAUCUCCACCAGUUGAAUAUAUUUACAUUAACUUAAACCCUUUGGAUUAAGCAAGAUUUUGUUUUCUUAUCCUUUCUCUAACAUGUAAGCACAGACCUAAUUAGCGGUCCUGCUCCGCACGGCAAAGGACGUAACGGCUGAAUUAGGGGCUGACUCUCCCAAAGGCAGGAUUGAAAAUACUCCUGGACUUGACGUGGUUUCAAACACGGCUUUGCACAUUUUGCUGUUUUCCACUCCUGCCUGAUUUUAUAGACUCACAUUAAUACGGAGUGGGAGACACCGUUUGUUGCUCACCCAAGGUCGGCAGCAGCUACAGCGGCUGCGGUUAACGCUGGGAGCAGGGGGAUGCCUUCACUUUAGCCCUGGUUAAAGGCCCUGCUCCUGCGCCCGUGCACCGGGGCCGGCUCAGGCAAGCGCAUGGCAGAGCUUUUGUUGUUGUUGUUUGGUUUUGAAGUCAAGAAAUAGGAAACUGCUUGAAUCGCUGGAGCCAGAGCGUCUCUGCAACAGGCAGCCAAAUACAAAAAAAAAGGGCUGUAUCAGUGUUUAAUUACUUUGUUGUUUUUAAAAUCUUUUUUAUUCCUGUUGAAAAGCUCCAACUCGACGGUACCUGGGAGCAGGG